GCUUCUUCAUGAGUUAGCAUUAUGACACUAUUAACUGGUUAAUUAUCUUUAACUAAGUUGCUGCCUGCCUCUUGGAGGCAUCUAGUGCAUCUUAACUCACCUAAGUGUCAAAGCCUUUACAUCAAGCACAGUUAGGACCAGCUAGUUAAUGCUUUUAUUCCUUGGCUUUGUGGCCUGGGAUUAACCCUUCUUAUGCUUUCACAUUCUAUAAAAUAGAUGUUAUUGCAGGACCCACCAUCUCUAAAGCUUUCAGAACAUGCCCACAACUAUUUUAUCUGAGAAAUACAGCAAGCAGGGAAGAUGCAGGGCAUUACCAUCCUUUUGUAAUCCAAAUCCUUUGUAAAGGAUUUUCUGCACAGUUUUCUACUCAGUUUUCUACUAUAGUUUUCCAGUGUCUCUUUGUGCUUUUGCUUUUUAAGUUUCGCUAGGGUUUAUUUUAAGCAAACAGCUCCCACAGCAUAAAAAUCAACAUGAAAUCUUUUAAGAGCUAGUUUACUUUUACCAGCUGUCACAGAAAGAGAGAGAAAUGUGUGGGAUAGCAGAGGACGAUAUGUGCACAGAGGAAGGUAGGCAUUUUAGAGUUGUUAAAUCCUAUUGCUAAGCCCAGGGCUUAACAGGCUUCACAUAUUUUUGCUUCAGGGUAUCAUGGUACAGUGAAAGCAAGCUGAUGGGCUCCAUUAGCAUGAAUGAUAGCUUCCUUCUACACACAAGUCAAUUUGCAGGUAUGAGAGGCAGCCCAUCCCUAACAGAUACCAAAACACAAAAAUAAACAAAACAAACGAAAAGGAAAGGAAAGGAAAGGAAAGAAAAGAAAAGAAAAGAAAAGAAAAGAAAAGAAAAGAAAAGGAAAGAAAAGAAAAGAAAAGAAAAGAAAAGAAAAGAAAAGAAAAGAAAAGAAAAGAAAAGAAAAGAAAAGAAAAGAAAAGAAAAGAAAAGAAAAGAAAANAAAAGAAAAGAAAAGAAAAGAAAAGAAAAGAAAAGAAAAGAAAAGAAAAGAAAAGAAAAGAAAAGAAAAGAAAAGAAAAAGGGAGACAAAGAGAGGGGAAAAAAGAAGUGAUUCCAGGUGAGAAGAAUGAUCAAAAAAAGAUACAGAGGAGAGUGAGGGGAUAAAAAGAAGGAACAAGAAGGGGAUAGGGCACCCUAACUGCAUCCACUGCUUCCUUGAGAUACCCAAGUGCCUGCAGGUUACUGACCCAUGGUUCUGUGCAGAGCCAGGCAUCUGUAAAAGGACUUACAGUCUUUAUCUACCAAGUCUCCCAGUGACAUCAUAUAAUUUCAGAAAAUGUGGAGGACCACCAAUGAGCCUUGCCUUCUGUGGGUGAGUAGGGAUCUUAGCACCCUGUGUCUUGCAUGAGAUGGACUGAUGAAGCAUUGGAGUGAAAAAGUGAGAUCUCAUAAUGAUGUUGCCAAAGUGUGGUGCAAAGAUGGGCUCUUGGGAUAAUGUGAUGUCUUCUAGAGCAGUCUGUGAUGAAACACCUGGGAAGGAUUGUAAACUUAGCCAAGGUAAGGGAAUACUGCAGGUCUUAGCAAGUCCCAGUGGAUCAUGGGAUUUAAGCAGAUCCUGCAAGCCCUGGAACAGACGGGAACAAGGAUGAAGCAUGAGGGACAUUCUUUGAGCUGCAUAAGUAGUAUGAGAUCCACCUAGUAGUGUUGAUCAGGCAGAAGAGCUUCCAGGUUGUAAGGAAAUCUUGAUAGUUUUACAAGGUUCAAAUAAGGCAUCUAAGGUUGAUAAUCAAGAGUUAUUAGCUGUAUUGGAGCCAAUGGAGGUGGUGGAAGAAGGCACAUGUCACUCUGCUUCAAGUUGAAUGACUUGUGUUGUCAUAUUUACAUGAACUGGACAUGAAAUACUGCUCUAUCACGAUCUUUACUAGAUAGAACACGUUCCUCAGCAUCAAUUCAGUCCCAUCAAUAAGGACUUCACCUGUAACGUAUGCUGGAGAGCAGCUCUGAGCGCAUACUCCUUGGGUUUCAGCAUUCUUCC
rnacentral:lncRNA from 1 species